rnacentral:rRNA from 1 species
UACGUAGGUGGCUAGCGUUGUCCGGAUUUACUGGGCGUAAAGAGCGCGCAGGCGGUCGUUCAAGUCGCGUGUGAAAGCCCCCCGGCUCAACUGGGGAGGGUCACGCGAUACUGAUCGACUCGAAGGCAGGAGAGGGUAGUGGAAUUCCCGGUGUAGUGGUGAAAUGCGUAGAUAUCGGGAGGAACACCUGUGGCGAAGGCGGCUUUCUGGGCCUUACCUGACGCUGAGACGCGAAAGCGUGGGGAGCGAACCGG